rnacentral:rRNA from 1 species
UACAUAGGUGGCAAGCGUUGUCCGGAUUUACUGGGUGUAAAGGGCGUGUAGCCGGGCUGACAAGUCAGAUGUGAAAUCCGGGGGCUCAACCCCCGAACUGCAUUUGAAACUGUUGGUCUUGAGUAUCGGAGGGGCAGGCGGAAUUCCUAGUGUAGCGGUGAAAUGCGUAGAUAUUAGGAGGAACACCAGUGGCGAAGGCGGCCUGCUGGACGACAACUGACGGUGAGGCGCGAAAGCGUGGGGAGCAAACAGG